rnacentral:rRNA from 1 species
UGAGUAACCUGCCCUUAACUCUGGGAUAAGCCUGGGAAACUGGGUCUAAUACCGGAUAUGACUCCUCAUCGCAUGGUGGGGGGUGGAAAGCUUUAUUGUGGUUUUGGAUGGACUCGCGGCCUAUCAGCUUGUUGGUGAGGUAAUGGCUCACCAAGGCGACGACGGGUAGCCGGCCUGAGAGGGUGACCGGCACACUGGGACUGAGACACGGCCCAGACUCCGUACGGGAGCAG